rnacentral:rRNA from 1 species
GCAGGGACGAAUAAAUGACGGUACCUGCAGAGGAAGCAUUGGCUAACUACGUGCCAGCAGCCGCGGUAAGACGUAGGAUGCAAGCGUUGUCCGGAUUUAUUGGGCGUAAAGAGUUUGUAGGCGGUUUGUUAAGUUUGAUGUUAAAUAUCAGGGCCCAACCCUGAAACUGCAUUGGAUACUGGCAGACUGGAGUGCAGUAGAGGCAAGUGGAAUUCCCAGUGUAGCGGUGAAAUGCGUAGAUAUUGG